AGCUUUGCGCAGUGGCAGUAUCAUAGCCAAUGAGGUUUAUCCGAGGCGCGAUUAUUGCUAAUUAAAGUUUGUCUAUUAGAUUCUUAAAUACCCUUUCGGCCAAAUAUAGAAAUUGAAAGGUGAGAAAAAUAAGACUAAGAAAUCUUUCAAUAUUGUUCAUAUUG
ensembl:snRNA U4 U4 spliceosomal RNA